GUAAAAGCGGAAAGGUUACAUAACAUAGAUUGAAACUUAAGUCCAACGGUUACAAACCAUAAGUAUUUAGUACAUAAAAGGUUCGGAACUUUAUAUUACAUAAACCAUAAGCCACGCAACAAGUUUUACUUGCCCAAGGUCACACAUCAGAUUCAUCAUCAUCACUUUCCUCCACAAGAGUGAAGUAACAACGACCAUCAAAAGGAUUAUCAAAAGGUUCACCUGCAACAUGGGUCAAUAAACCCUGAGUACAAAAGUACUCAACAAGACUUAACCGACUUUAAAAGAGGUGAAGACUCAGGUAUGCAGGCUAUAGGGAUUCAAGGUAAAGCUUUAGCAAAAUCAAAGCAUUUCUUUUGCAUAGAAGCUUACUAAGAUUAAAACCUACUUUCAAGUUUUAACUCAAGAUCAUCAUUUAUGACUAAGCAACAUUAGGAUUAAACUUUCAUAAGCAGACCAUAUCUUUCUUAUUCCAAAGAUUCACUUAUUACUACGAUGAUGGUGUGAGGAUUGAGGCUCCAUAUCCGAGGAAACACGGCGAUUCGAAUCGAUUAAACCCAGCUGGGGAUUCAGUACCACACGACAUAUGUAGAACUUAAUCUUGCAUAUGUCAACCUUUUCUAUAGAUCCUCCCAUACAAGAACGGGUCCAGCGUCACCCGAGAGUACAGUACACCACCAUCCUACAGCCAAUCUAGAUGUUUCCCGGUCAUCUCAGAUCCGUAAGGUGGGUACACGCUACUCUCGCCAUCUCUCCACUCCCAGUACGCGGUUAGCCGUUCUCAAGUAUCGGAAUAGCUAUAGGUAAGGCUUACCAUCGCAUGUGGGCUGUACUCAAAGGUCUCAAACACAGCAGGCCAUCAACGGAACGGUCCUUAAUCGACACAGUUGGAGACACUACUUUAAGACUCCAUUCUUAAAGCAAGUCCACCGACCGGUCUCAAGUUUAAACAUUAUUAACCAUAAAAGUAUUCCACAACAACCCUUCAAACUUUCUCAUUUGAAAACCUAUCUAAUAAGCAGGGCUAAGCAUACUAAGUAUUUUCAUAAAACAAGUAUCAAGGUUAAUAUUGAAAUCAUCAAGGUAGGUAAUGCAGCAAAUAGGAUUCACUCAACUCCUAUUCACCUAAUGCAUCAUAUUAACUCAAGUGAUAUAAAUAACUUUAUGAAAAUACAAGGGUAGGGUUUAAUGUCCGGGGCUUGCCUUGGCCGGAAGGGAAGUUCGACAACUCAGCAAAACCAGAUGGAUCCACAAAC
rnacentral:lncRNA from 1 species